ACACUAUCUCCAGCAGGGAAGAAAGCACUCCGGAGAAGCGUGGUUUACAGCUUGGUUAUAUACCAUUUCAGAACAAAGAACAUAAUCAAGCAUGACAGGAAUACAAUGUUUUUCUCAAAGUCACAAGGAGAUGGUUUGCUGCGGUUUAGUACAUGCACAGCAGGUCAACUUGACCUUGGUUCUCUGGGAAGAA